rnacentral:rRNA from 1 species
AUUGAACGCUGGCGGCAUGCUUUACACAUGCAAGUCGAACGGUAACAGGCCGCAAGGUGCUGACGAGUGGCGAACGGGUGAGUAAUGCAUCGGAACGUGCCCAGUCGUGGGGGAUAACGCAGCGAAAGCUGUGCUAAUACCGCAUAUGAUCUGUGGAUGAAAGCGGGGGACCGUAAGGCCUCGCGCGAUUGGAGCGGCCGAUGUCAGAUUAGGUAGUUGGUGGGGUAAAGGCUCACCAAGCCGACGAUCUGUAGAUGGUCUGAGAGGACGACCAGCCACACUGGGACUGAGACACGGCCCAGAGUCCGACGGGAGGCAGCAGUGGGGAAUUUUGGACAAUGGGCGCAAGCCUGAUCCAGCAAUGCCGCGUGCAGGAAGGAGGCCUUCGGGUUGUAAACUGCUUUUGUACGGAGCGAAAAGGCUCUCUCUAAUACAGGGGGCUCAUGACGGUACCGUAAGAAUAAGCACCGGCUAACUACGUGCCAGCCGCCGCAGUAAGAC